UUUACUUUGUUACAUUUUACUGUUUACUUUCGAACGCACAUUGGUAUUCAUUAUUUGUGAGCAAUGGAAUAAAAAAGAGAGCUGGUGAAAAAGUUAUAUUUUCAAGGAAAAACAAGUAAAAUUGUUAAGAUCCUCCUUUGAUGUUAAUCAACGUACUGUGGCUCAAUUUAAGAAAAGUGGUAGUGUUAAAAUAUCAAAAAAAAAAGCUUUUCGUGUUACAAGUAAGCCACAACUUACAAACUUACCGCUUUUAUCAACGAGUAUGUCUGAUGUUCCAGCUGAUAAAAAGCUAUUGAAAGAUAAAAAUUGCCUAAGUUACAGUGACUACCGUGAGGAAACUUUUCUAACAGUGACGUUAGAUAAGCCGCUGUCAACGGCUGAAUUUACAAUAUUUCUUAAUGCAAAUUUAUAUACAUAAUGUUAAAAUUAUAUACACAUAUGUACAUACGUGCAACAAGAAAAAAAUAUUAUACUGAUUUUGUAGCUUCAAAACAACAUCCAUAAAAAGGACCUAAUUUUAAGUUACAAGACCCAUGUAACCCCUUAAAGUUUAAGCGUCGUUUGCACAGAAUUUGGGACGAAAUUCCAGAAAAAAUUGUGCAAAACUGUGGGAAGCUUUCAAAAGCAAUGAAAGGAUAACGAUUUUAAUUAAAAUUACUGAAAACUGUAUAGUUUAACUAAUAAAUAAAACAAGGUUUCAUCCUAAAUUUGA